rnacentral:lncRNA from 1 species
GCGGCGGUGAGCGGCGGGCUAGAAGGCGGCUGCGGCUGCCCUGGCUCUGCUCUUGACCGCCGCCAGCCCCGGGAACUUUCCGACGCCGCCGGGAGACGGGGGACGGGCAGCCCGGGCUGGGACGCGGCCGGACCGCUGGAGCCGUGCGGGCUGGGGAAGAAGGUCUGCUGCGCCUCUGCCAACGUCCCGGGGCCUGGGACCCGGGGGCGUCGUGGGACCCCCGUGGGGACGGGUUUUCCUUUCCGAGACUCCGCGGAGAAACCUGGCGGCCGCCAGCGGAGCAUGCUUUUCCGGGGGGCGCUGGCCCCGAUACUGUGGCACCUUGCGGGGCUCUGCCCGGACCAUGGCUGACGUCGACGGCCCUCGGAGGCCUCCAAGCCACACAACCUGCCCGGACCCCUGGAAAUAUGCCCCAUCCUACCUCCCCGCCUUUCUCCAGACAACAUCCUGUGUCGCUUUCUUUCCUCAGCCUGUUUUCUACAGCAGGGAUUCGCACCCACUGCACCCUAAACCCAGCAGGGGGACUUCCGUGGCUGGAAACUACUGAAUUGUUCUUUCAGAGGUCUCUCAGGACGGCACCACUAGGUCCCCAUUCUCCUUGAUAGUGAACUCUGCAGCCCUCUCCUUGGGGUUUCAAGUCUUUUUUUUUUUUUUUUUUUUUUUAAUGAGACGGAGUCUAGCCCUUGUCGCCCAGGCUGGAGUGCAGUGGCACGAUCUCGGCUCACUGCAACCUCCGCCUCCCGGUUUCGAGCGAUUCUCCUGCCUCAGCCUCCCUAGUAGCUGGGAUUACAGGCACCUGCCACCACACCUGGCUAAUUUUUGUGUUGUUAGUAGAGACGGGGUUUCACCAUGUUGGCCAGGCUGGUAUGGAACUCCUGACCUCAGGAGACGUGUCUUUAGGAAGCAGAGAGGGUUCGAUUCUGGACUCCGCCCAUGACUCACUUCUCUUGUAAAGAAAGAGUUGUCCUUCCUGGUACUCCAGGUUUAUGGGAUGCAGGAUAAUGGAGCAUGCUCUAUCUGGGACAUUGCUAGUCUUAUGACAGAGGGAGAAGACAGCGAUGAGUUUUCGAAGAACUCCAGGAAGUGGCUGCAGAGCAAAGUAGGAUCCUGAUACUGAGCUCAAGUGAUUCAGAAUGAAAAGACCUUGGCACAGACCUGUUAAGGAAGCUCCAUAUAAGGUGAAGAAAACAACAUGCUCAGCCAUGUCCUUGCCUUCUGCACACGGUAGUGCAUUCACUGCCUGAGAAUUCAAGGCUAAAACAAAAAGAGGAGCUUUUGUUCCAACAGAUAAGUACUUACCUUUUUCAAAAAAUGCAUAAGCUGUCCUGGGUGUUUAGCAGUUAUUCGCACAGCUUUCCAAAGACUCACAGCAUUUAAAAGCUAACUCUACAGAGAUUCAACAGCUUCUUCCAGAUCCCACCACAGUGGAAAAGAACUCCGGUGUCCUGGCUCCCUGUCCAGCUCUUCUCUCUCCCCUUCCAGCUGCCAGUUCAGCUUUAAGAAGUUCAUUCUCCACAUUCAGAUGCAGGCAAAUGCGUUUGACUUGAGCAUAUUGAUUUCAGGCAGGUGAGAGUGGAUGUAGCGAUUCAGCUUGACAAAUAUUUAGAUCAGUUAAGUGUCCUUUAUAAAGAAGCACUUGAACUCAGUGUUUCCUUUACCCGACCAUUUCACUCCACAAGCUACCUCCCCAGCAUAAAAUAUUCAAAUUAUUUCUAAAUUUCAUCUACUGAAAAAAUACUUCUAGGCCCUAUAGCUACAUGAUAUCUCCACUGGGAGCCCUGUCCUUUCCAUGCCCUGGGAAAACCCGAUCUAAAGCAGAUUUAAAUGACUCAGCAGUAGGACUCAGGUCUCUGUCUCUGCCUGCUUACUUGGGGAGUGCUCCAGCCUUAGGGGCUCUCUUGCACUCCAACAUAGGAAAGAAAUUAUCGAUGGCUCCAUUCCCCAGCAUUUGAGACUUUUCUUCCCACAGACACAUUCCUGAGGACACCAGUCAUGGGUAAAGAACUCCACUGGGGUCAGCGUUGGAUCCCACUAGGCAGUUUAGGACUUGUAAGUAGAGUAGUGUGGACUUGGUGUUCCCAGAGCCUCUCACUCAUGAUUCAUGGCUCUCCACCCCAAGCAUCGGAACUUGCCCAACUUCACCACAGAAGGAAACAGACUGUAAGCUUGGAGGGCCAGGGAGGAAACCGGAGGCAUGUGUGGGAGGAUUAGAAACAUGAAAAGAUAUUUACAGUAAGGUUCGCUUGUCAUCCUCUUGAACUGGGGGUGCAUAGAGUACAAUAAGACCCCAUGUGAGUAUGUUAGAUGAUAAGGCUCAGGUUGGAUGGGUGUGUAGAGUAAAGGCUUUGCAUCACCUUUGCCAGGGUGAGGGAAGGCUAUGGAUAGCACAGGGGACCUUGAUGAUCGGGUGAGGGAGCCCAUGUGGACAUAGUGGUCACCAGCUACUUCCUAGUUCUCUACAUGGGAGAAAGAGCCCUUCUCUGUAAUCAUGGAAGCUCAAGUUCUUGGUGGUUCAGAGGUUAGAGACCUCUGAUUACUAGGACAGAGCAGAAUAGCAGGGCUGGUCCUGGUAGAUCAGACAUCUCAUGACAUCCUUUAAAAGGGACUAGAAUAUUCAGAACUCCGGUGUAACUAAAUGAUCCUCAAGCUUUACCAGCAGGUGAGCAAGGUCCCAUUGUAUUUGGUACUCACAUCCCCACCAAUUCUGUAAAAGUUUGCCAACUUUCCCCUCCAUCCCCUGCACCCUUUCACCAAAAGAUAUGCCUAAGAGUUCCCAAGAGACGUCUAACAUAGGCCUGCAUGUCAGCCCAGUCUUCUGGGCUGAGCUGCUGCACUGUUGCUGGCCUUGAUGGCUGAACCUGAUCUCUGUUGUGGCACCCACCACUCUUUCUCAAGCCUUGACACCUUGGCAGGCUUUGGCAAAAAGAGGAGAGCUGUUCUUCCUCGGCAUUAUGUUCACUUAGCAGGGUCCCACAGCAGGAUUGCUUGGACCCCAGAGUAUUGUAGGGCUUAAUAAGACCAGCCCUUUCAUCUCACACGCUCUAUCCUUUCUCUCACUGGUGCACCCACGUCAGGUGUCUUGAGUGGGGAGUGCUCGAAUAUCUGCCACCAGCUUGAGUCAGAACCUCGACUUCCCUCAGCUUUUCAGGGUCUGUUACUGAGUCUGGUCCACACUCCAGGGUCUUUUCCUCACGGUCUGGGUCUGGUCUUUUUCAGGUGCCUACCUUUCCUCCCUGCAAACUGCCUUGAGUUGCCUCCCCUUCUCCCUUCCUUCCUGGUCUGUCAGAGACAUCUUGUCUGGGUGCAUAUUUGAACCCCAUCAGUAGACAGAAAACAUGUAUUUCCUUGAAGGCCCCUCAGACCCCAGGGCCACCGGGGUUGGCUGAGUCAGAAUACCAGCCAUGUGGCAUGUCGCAUGGGGCAAGAGCUGUGCUGCCCAUGGGAGUCCAGAGAAGGAGCACACUAAGGACCAACACCAGAGAGAAGACAGCUGUCUGCAAACCAGAAAGAGAGUCCUCACUGCACUUCAUAUCUGCCAAUGGAUCCUUGCUCUUGAACCUCCCAACCUGCAGAAUCAUGAGAAACAAACAUUGUCAUUUGCUCUAGGGGAAGCCUGCAGCUAUGUCAUGAGGACCCUCAACAGCCCUGUGCAGAGGACUAUGUGGCAUGAAAGAUACCUUCUGCCAACAACCAGCCCCAACUUGCCAAGCAUGUGAACAAGCUAAACUGAAAGCAGAUCUUCAGCCCCAAUCAAGCCUUCAGAUGACAGUAACCUCAGCCAAUAUACUGACUAUAACCUCAUAAAAGACCCUGAACCAGAACCCUCUAAGCCACUCUCAAACUCUACCCCACAUAAACUGUGAAAUAAUAUAUGUUUAUUGUUAUUUUGGGCCACUAAGUUUAGGGGUAAUUUGUUAUGCAGCAAUUAUAUAACCAAUAUUCCAACUAAAGCUGAAAUGCCUCCUGCAUUUCCUCCCUCAGUGGCCUACACUACAAUCCAAGUUCAGGAAAAAACGAGAACCUUAUUUAAGGUAGUGGCAAGAAAUGAAUGGAUUAACUGGACAUUUAAAAAGUAUUUGAUAGAACUUGGUGAUAGGAGGUGGGGCAGUUAGGGACUAGCAGGAAUUUAGGAUGAGAGGCUCAUUCAGUUGGGCUUAUGUUUUACUGAGGUCAAUUCCAAAAGGAAGGAAAGAAAAAUCCAGCCAAAUAACCUUUAAUGGACUAAGUCUUCUUUCAUAAGUCAGUUUGCACAACUUCUUCACAGGAAUCAGAUUUUAAAUAUCAUAACUGAAGAGAAAAAAAACAGCAAGAGGAGUUUACCUUUAUGGUGGAAUGACACUAAUCUUUCAUGCUUUCAAAUUUCUUGAAAUUUCCUUCGUAUGCAUUAUCUUAUUUGCUGUUCACAGUAAAACUGUGUAUUGGCUAAGCCAGUUUUUAUGAAAAUAUAAGCAGUGAGAAAAAGUAAGAUAGUAUGUCAGUUAGUAGAUUUUUUUAUGGACAUUGUGACAGAGGACACAACUUAAACUGGCUUUUUUUUUUUUUUUUUUUUUUUUGAGACAGAGUUUUGCUCUUGUUGCCCAGGCUGGAGUGCAAUGGCACGAUCUCGGCUCACUGCAACCUCCGCCCCCUGGGUUCAAGUGAUUCUCCUGCCUCAGCCUCCCGAGUAGCUGGAAACACAGGUGCCUGCCACCGCGUCCGGCUAAUUUUUUGUAUUUUUAGUAGAGAUGGAGUUUCACCAUGUUGGCCAGGCUAGUCUCAAACUCCUGACCUCAGGUGAUCCACCUGCCUCAGCCUCCCAAACUGCUGGGAUUACAGGUGUGAGCCACCGCACCUGGCAAAAGGGUUUUGUUUCUAAAGGUACAAGAACAGGUACAGCUUCGGGUCAGUGUGAUUCAGCCCUCAACAAAGCCACCAGGAUCCAUUUCUUGGCUCUGCUUCAUUGCUUCUCAUAGGCUGGCUCAUUCUCAGACUGUACGUGAUAUGGUUCAGUGGCUUUAGGCUCCAAGCAUGACAACACCCAACACUCAGAUUGAUGGAGCUAGAGCAAGUCUCUUCAGGCAGCGUCUAGGAAAGUUCUGAAAUUCACUCUGAUUGGCUGCCCAUCUCUGAAUCAACCACGUAACCCAAGGAAAUAGGAACUGCUGAUGGGUCAGGGUCGGUUCACAUGCUUCAUACCUGGAGCUGAGAAGACAUCAACUCCAUCCUGGAGCUCAUGGGCUGUGACUAGAGCAGACGGAGUUCUCAGAGGAAAGUCAGAGUACAGUUAUCAAAGCAAGCAGUUACAGAUGCUAGAUGACCAAAAUCCAAUAACUGCCCAGUAAAAAUAUUAUACUAAAAUCUAGGAACAUGUGGCUGAUGGACAGUCAUUACCAGGAAAAAAAAGUUGUUAGGUCUAAAUGUAAAAAUUGAGGCAAAGAAAGUGCCCGAGCUAGAAUUAGAACCCUGACUACCUGAAUAUUAGAUCGGUUAGUGCCACUUCUACCCUACCGCUGCUGAGGGGGGAGGUGAACAGUCUCUCAGGUUGCAGACAGUGGAUGGUUUCCCUCCCUCUAUCUUCUCAUUUCAUGGUGGAGCUGAAUCAUCCUAUGUUCUACAUGCUGACAGUGGAAGGUUAUGACCAUACCCAUAUCCUGUUGUCUCUGAGUCUCCUGUGGUGCAGAGAUCCCUGAGACUUGUAGAACAGAACCUGAGUGGAAAGUGGGAGGGGGAUUGGGGGUGGUUCCCACGAAUCAAGCAGCAACCUGGAGACAAGGAACACCUGCAACCUCAGCAGUGGAUCAGAACGGCUGACUGAGCAAUGGACAUACUGUGCAUCUUUCAUUAGUGCUGAGACCAACUUCUAGCUUGGAGUCCCAUGAAAGGGAAACUUAGCCCUAACACCACAACAAGGAGCACAGUGUCAAGUGGGGACAUUGCAGCAGAGUUGCCGCAAAGACUCUGAAGUGCUAUGGGAAGGGAUAUUUCCUAGGAGGGGUUAAAGGGAUUCUCCUUAAGAAGGGGGCUGGGGGAAUCUGAGUAAGAGGUGGGGGAAAGCAGCCAAAGCAUGAUACUUAGUCAUAGCAUCACAAGAAUUUGACUCAGAGUUCCUACAAGGUUGUCCUAAAAUGCCCUGGUUCAGGUGGGUCAGCUUUGAAAGCACCCAAAUUACCCCGUUUUCUGUACUAUGUUUAAAGGCAAUUUGAAAGAAAGACCCCUAAUUUGGAAACAUGUGCUAAGGCUAAAUCACUUUUUCAACUGAAAAUUCUUUUUUAUGUAUUGUUACACUCCAUUUUCUGUCUUGUGUUUUUUGUUGUUGUUGUUAUUUGUUUCUUUUUUCUUUUUCUUUCUUUUUUUUUUUUUUUUGAGACAGAGUCUCGCUCUGUCCCCAGGCUAGAGUGUAGUGGCGCGAUCUAGGCUCACUGCCACCUCUGCCUCCCAGGUUCAAGCAAUUCUCUUGCCUCAGCCUCCUGAGUAGCUGGGAUUAUAGGCGCCCACCACCACACCCAGCGACUUUUUGUAUUUUUAGUAGAGAUGGGGUUUCGUCAUGUUGGCCAGGCUGCUCUUGAACUCCUGACCUCAGGUGAUCUGCCUCCCUCGGCCUCCCAAAGUGCUGGGAUUACAGGCGUGAGCCACCGCACCCCAGCCCAUUUCCUGAAUUUCAGGGGGAGUGAAUUAAUUCUAAUAUAGAGAGUGGGUAAAAGGACCAAUUUUUUCAUUACUAUUUGACUUCAUAUCAUCUUGCUUUGCAAUGCCCUGGUUUUUACAUCUAUAAAUCAGAAAUGAUAAGCAACCUGCUUUAUAGGAAUGCAAUGAAGAUAAGGAGAUACAAUAUAAAAAUAUACAUUGAGUCAGAAAGACAGAUAACACUAUUUAAACCAGUGUAUUCUUAUAAUCCUCAUUAUUACUAAGAAUGAUGUUAACAGUUAUGAUAAAAAGUCAACAUGCAGAAAGAAGAGAAUAAAGUAAUUUCUAGUUUGGGCCAAGAUGUACUCUGUAGACAUGAAUUUUUAAAAGAUGAGUGGUUAACACUUAGCAUUUGAUUCUGUGCUUGUUAUAAGUGAGCAACUGAGAAUUUCUAUCUUUUGGAGAGAGAGAGAGAGAGAGAGAGAGAGUGUGUGUGUGUGUGUGUGUGUGUGUGUGUGUGUGUGUGUUAUACAGGGAACAAGCAUUAUUUUGCAUUUGAGGUCAAAACUGGAGAAAUCAGGGAGACGUCAAGUUUUGUUCAUUAACUUUCAUACCUUUCUAACAACAGCCCCCAGAUUAAACCAAUCUUCUACUGUCAAAUUUGGGGACAUUUUCUUUAGUGGAUGGUCAUAAAUCUUGAGGGGAAUAUUGCUCACUUCUUUUAAGAAUUAAUGGUGAUUCCUAGGUGGGAGUAUGGAGUCAUGUAUCAUACCCUGAAGCAUUAUGUUUUUCCCAGCAGAGAUGCUCAAUAGAAGUCUGGAAGCUUUUGCGGCUGCCAGCAAUUUCAUGGUUACUGUCCGAAGCAGAAAGGGCACAUCAUCAAAUUCUUCCUUCUAAUGCAAUUUUGCCUUCCUGGAAUUUGUACUAUUUUUCUUACAUGGAUAGGGAAUUUUUUUUGAGAGUGCACAGUCAUGUUAAAGUAAAUACCCUGGAGAAAUACUUUCAAUUAAAAUUCAGAAGUUUUAAAAUCCAGGCUAGAAAGGAUUUCCCUGACCUACAAAACCUAAUAAGAUAUUUUUUCUUUCCAUUUUCUCCCUCCUCAUUCCCCUAAGUGUGUGGAGCUGUCCUGCUUUCUUACCUGGUGGCCCCAUUUAGCUUUGCCUUCUAGACAUUUAAGUCAGAAAAUGGCUUUAAAGAAUGUUUUGAGAAAACUUGACAUACUGAUCUACUCUCAACUCAAUGAUUUUCUUUUUUUUGAGUGGAAAAGAGAAAGAAACCACAGAAGCAAAGCAAUAAUAAAAUCUUUUAGUCAAGUAAGAAAAAUUUGACCAGGAGAUACAGAGAUAGUAUUUGUGGUGAUUGAGGCAGUUAAUACCAGAAAAGUUUAGAAAGCAGAGAUUUUGAGGCCCGAAGGGAGGGGAGUCAAACAGGCAGCAAGUCGACGUGGAGCAAGAUAGUCUUAUGUUGGAGAGUGGCCCUCUCCUCUGUGGGGCCUGGGCCUGGCAUUUCAUCUCUCGGUUGGGCUAUGAAUGCCUAGGUUGCAGAAUUUCUUAGUGAGUUUUGCACAUUAUAUAUGCAACACACCUAUGCAAUAUGAGUACAGUGCCUCAAACCUAGGUACUCAGUUAUUUAGAGUUACCAUUGUAAAAUAUUAAAUGCCUGGGUAUGAAAGAAUGAAAAUCUCUUCCUCUCUCAAUGUGUUCUCGGGAUUAUGGCUUUAAAAAAUAGCUGUUCAACUAAAACUAAUUAAAACUUCCAGGUUAGAACCUAGAAGCAGACAUACAACGACUAAAAUGAGUGCAAGAGGAUAAUGGUGUCCAUUAGAGAUUAUUCUUACUCAGAGGCAGGGCUAGGACUAGGGAGAGGCAAGAGAAGCAUCCAGGGUGAACACUUAAGAGGCACCCAGCUUCAGGGCCUGCAGGCACUAAGCCUGAGCUUGCACAACACUGAGAGUGCGACUCCAUGCCCUACCCUAGGCCCUGUCCUGUUCAAAGGACAUCCUACCUGGCUCAUUGGCAGGAUAUCUUGCCCCGUCCCCAAUGGUUUCUUUCACACUCGCAAUACCUGGAGACAAAACAGCCACCAUUGUCAGACUUCUUUGACUUUCCAAACAAACUCCAGAAAGAUCAUUACAGGACCCAGCAUGAGAAGGGAAACCGAGGUGCAUUGAAAGCAAUAAAAUUUAACCGCAGAGAUGAUUUCAUGUUCAAUCAUCAAAAUACACAGAGGGACUUGCUAAAAUGUCCACCGUUGAGGGUAACAACCCAUGACCUUAUUCUUUCUCACACCAGCCUUAGUAUAUAUAAAUGCUAAGAAUAGCAAACAGGAUCUUUUUUAUUGGCUUUUCAAGAACAACAUUGGGGCCUGGAAGACACCAGUCACCUUCAAAAACAAGCAACAAUAGGAAGCUUGAAGCUGUUGGUGCACAGCUUUCAACAUACACACUUUUUAAAAAAUAAUUUCAACUUAAAAAUUUUAGAUUUAGGAGGUACAUGUGUGGGUUUGUUACAUGGGUAUAUUGCAUGAUGCUGAGGUUUGCGGUACGAUUGAUCCCAUCACCCAGGUACUGAGCAUAGUUGCCAAUUGGUGGUUGUUUUUAACCCUUGUUCCACUCCCUUCCUCUCCAUUCGAGUAGUCCCUACUGACUAUUGUUGCCCUCUUUAGUCUAUGAGCAGCCAAUGUUUAGCUCCCCCUUAUAAGUGAGAACAUGUGGUAUUUGGUUUUCUGUUCCUGCAUUAACUUGCUUAGGAUAGUGGCCUCCAGCAGCAUCUAUGUUGUUGUAAAAGACAUGAUUGCAUUCUUUUUAUGGCUGUAUAGUAUUUCACAGUGAACAUAUUUUUCUUAGACAUUGUUUUCAAAACAUUUCAUUGCUUGAUUUGCUCAACCCCAUUCUCCAUCUAAAUCAUUUGUAAACAUAGCCUGAUAAUUACUUUGGAUUAAUUGGUAUUAUUUGAUAAAAUCAUACAAAGCUAGAUUUUUGAGAAUGGUAAUAUGUUAGGAAUGUGUUUGGCUAUGAGUAACAGAAAACCCAACUACAUGACUUUUAGCAUAGGGGUUUAUUUUUCUUAUGUAACAAGAUAUCCAGACUCAGGCAGUUUCUGGUAUAGGUUCAGUUCCUUAGUUCUCUGGGUCAUUCUCUCAUAAUAAUGACAUGGCUGGGUAGCUCCAACUACUGAGGCAGUAUAUAAGGCAGAGAGAAGGAGGGGCAGUGGAAGGAAGGCACACCAUGGUUGUCCCCUUUUACAAAGAAAGCAAAAGCUUCCCCAGCAACCCAUACCAGCCCCCCUCAUUAUGGGUUGAGUGUUGUCCUCUCCAAAGCCAGAUAUGUUUUUCCCAACCUCCAGUACCUCUGAAUCAGCAUAGUUUUUGUUCUUUGUGAAUCUGAACUUACUUGGAGAUAGGUCUUUACAGAGGUAAUCAAAUUAAAAGGGUGACGGUCAUUGGGGUGGACCCUAACCCAAUAUAAAAAAGGGAAAUGUGGACACAGAGACAUGCAUACUAGGAGAGAACCAUGUGAAUGAGAAGCAUGCAUCUACAAGCCAGGGAGAGAGGCCUGGAGUAGAUCCUUCCCUCAGAGCCAAGCUUACAAACAUCUUGAUUUCAGACUUCUAGCCUCCAGAACUAUGGGACAAUACAUUGCCUUUCCAGAAGCCACCCAGGUUUUGGUACUUUGCAAUGGCAGCCCCAGAAAACUAAUGCAUACCAGAAGACUUGUUUUCAUACAUUAUUAGCCAGAACUGUGCCCCUGGCUUCCCUGACUACAAGGGAGGCCAGGCAAGUAUAUAUUUAACUGAACAUAUUUCAAUCAGAGCAUUAGGAUUCUGGUAGCAAAGAAAAAAAGUGGGGGAAGGGCGUAAAUAAUCAAGAGCAUUUUCCACCAGGGAGAAAACGCUUGCACUUAAUGAGUGGCCACAGGAUGGGUAGCUCUCCCUCCAACACUAAUCAGAUUUGAAGUAACAGCAUGUUGGGGAUAAAGUUAGGCAGUAGAAAGAGUGCAAGGGGUUUGGGGACUAGCACUCACUUUGCCGCAACUUCCUACGUGGUUUCACACAAGUUGCUUUAACCUCCAAGCCUCAGCUUUUUUAAUCUGAUAAAUGGGAUUAAUAAUCUAUGCUCUUAGCAUUUUAAUAGAGCUUUUUUUUUUUUUUUUUUUUUUUUUUCCAGACGGAGUCUCACUCUGUCACCAGGCUGGAGUGCAGUGGCACGAUCUCGGCUCACUGCAACCUCCACCUCCUGGAUUCAAGCAGUUCUCCUGCCUCAGCCUCCCGAGUAGCUGAGACUACAGGCACGCAUCACCAUACCCAGCUAAUUUUUGUAUUUUUAGUAGAGACGGGGUUUCAUCAUGUUAGCCACGACAGUCUCGAUCUCUUGACCUCGUAAUCCACCUGCCUUGGCCUCUCAAAGUGCUGGGAUUACAGAUGUGAGCCACCGUGCCCGGCCAAUUUUUAUUAUUUUUGGUUUUUUUUUUUUUUUUUUUUUUUUUUUUUGAGAUGGAGUCUCACUCUGUUGCCCAGGCUGGAGUGCAGUGGCACAGUCUUGGCUCACUGCAACCUCCGCCUCCCAGGUUCAAGUGAUUCUCCUGCCUCAGCCUCAUGAGUAGCUGGGACUAUAUGUGCCUGCCACCACGCCCAGCUAAUUUUUGUAUUUUUAGUAGAGAUGGGGUUUCACCAUAUUGGCCAGGCUGGUCUCAAACUCCUGACGUUGUGAUCCUCCCACCUUGGCUUCCAAAAGUGCUGGGAUUACAGGAGGGCAGUUUUUAAAAGGGUUUAUCAUUCUAGUGUUGUCUAUCUACACUGCCCUCUGAGAUCUGAUGGGGUAAAGCAAAGGAUACCAACUAAGCUUGCAGGCUUUGGAGUCACCUCACCUGUUCCUAUCACUUAGAUGUUGUGUGGUCCAGGAUCAGUUACUUAACAUCUCUGUGCCACAGUUUUCUUAUAUGUGUAUAAUAGGUAUAUGAUUAGUAGCUAAAUGAGACAGUUGUGAGCAUGAAAUAAUAUAUGUAAAGCAUUCAGAACAGUGCCUGGCACAUAGCAAACUUUAUAUAUGUUAGCUGUUAUUAUCAGGCCUAUCCAAUUUAUAAGUGAUAUGGAAUCGAGAAGGAUAGCAAAUGUUUUAGACCAUAAAAUCAAGAAUCUAAAAAAGAUUUUGACAGAAAGGAAAUGAGCCAAAUAUAAAAAGAUGAAGUUUAAUAAGUACACAUAAAGGUCCUGUCUUGGGGUAAAAUAGCAAGAAUGAGGGAGGCCUAUAGGUUUUUAGUUUAUUAUAAAUUUAAUAUAAGUUAACCAUGAGAUGCACUUACAAAACAAAAUUAGAUUUAGGUUGCCUUGAUAGAAACACAGUAUUGGAAACAAAGGAAAAUAGAACCCAACUCUGUCUCUGCACUGGUUGGACCACACUUGAAAUAAUAGAUUUCCUUCUAGUAUUCCUCACAGCAGCCCCUGAAAAUUGAUAAUUGCCUUCACGUUCUUUAAGGGCUGGUAUAUGAAAAAGAAAAGAGAUGUAUUUUGGGGAUGCUACAGAAGACAGAACAUCCCCAAUAUGAAUAAAGUAGAGGUCUGCUGGACUACAGCUCAGUCUUAGAUGACUAUGAGCCACCUGGAAAUGGAAUGGCCUCCUUCAGGUGGGUUGCAUGGGGGCCCCUGCUCACCUAAAUGCUUAAGCCAUAGCUGGUGGGAUAAUUCGUGGUGAAGGAUGUUGCCAAGCAGACCAACAAGUAGGCAUCCCUACUGCUUUGAGGAAGGGGUAGGUACUCCCACAGAAGUCACAUGUUGGUUGCCCAUUGGCCAAAUUUGGUCUGCUAUUGUGUAGUUUUUGUUCUAUGUGAAAUAUUUUUUUUUUCUUGUAUAUCUGGAUUCCUUGUCAAAAUUUAAAAAUCAGGAGAUUUCACACAAAAAAAAUUCUUUUUCUUUUUUUUUGCUUUCUUUGAAAGAUAAGAUGAUCUAGCAGCACAUGGUGGAUCUGUAUUGUCACAGAUGGCUGGAGUUGAGCAGUAGCCAUCACCUUUAAAUGGAAUGUGCGUCCUCCAAUUAUCCAACAUCCUCACCUGGCCCACCUUACUCAUUGAGGUUACCUGUCUGGUCCAUAAGCAUUUGAGUUUGUGAUUCACAUGCCGGUCUCUAGGGGCUUCCCUUACCCUGAGGGUCUAGACAUUUCCUUAGUUUUGUCCUGCAAACAUUAGGAGAAAUUAGUUAAAUCUGUGGAAGUGUGGGUAAAAUUCAGAUACAUGUAGAGACUGGGGAUGUGUUACAGAAUAACUGCAAGUUUUAGAAAACACUGACAUAGCAAAUGUUUAAAGCUAAGUCUACAUUAAGGAGCAAAAAACAUUAAAAAAUUUUAUUUGAAUUUUGGUUGCAAUCUACAUGUUCUAAAUAUAUAUGGUUCUUGCUGAUAUCUCCCUAAUCUUUGAACCCGUUCCAUUCUUCAUAAGUCAUCAUGGAUCCUUGCAUUGUAUUUAUUGAUGGAUGGAUGGACAAAUGGAUAGAAAUCAUGCAGGAAGGAUGGAGAACAUAGAGAAAAAUGUAACCAAAUGAGUACUAUUGUUUCUUUCUGUGACAUAUGAUCAUGUAAUAAGUGUGUAUUAAGUAUUCUGUGUCAAGCAUGGUGCCAGGUUUUAGGGGAUGCAAAAAAGGAGUAAAAAACACAGACAUGUUCUGAGGACCUUGUUACUUUUGCCCUUAUUGUUAGUUUCAGCUUAAAAGUUAGGACUCUAAAAUUUGAAAUCCAGGCUCAUUGGGUUCAAAUCCAGGCUGUACUCCUUCUGUGCUCUGUAAUUUUGAGCAAUUUACUUAACCGCUUAAUAAAAUAAGGAUGAUGCCAAUAAUAUCUAUUUCCUGAUGUUGUUUGGAGGAUUAAAUGAGAGAAUCAUGUAAGAGCAUUUAGUACAGCACUCAGCACUUAGUGAGCAUUCAAUAAAUUAUUCUAAACUAGCUUCCUUCAAUACCUGCAGAAGGAACAUCAAAAUGAGAAAAGAAGGUUCAUUUGUGUGGACACACAGACACACACACACACACACACACACCCUCACUCAAAACUGGUCUUACUUUCACACUUCUUUUCCCUUUCCUCCUUCUCCCCUUUAUCUGCUGCCUCCUCCACCUCUUUUCUCUAUGACUUCAAAGUUAAUUUUUUUAACAAUUUAUCAUCAACUUUUUAAACAUAUAGCAAUGUUGAAAAUUUUUUCCAGUAAAUAACCAUAAAUAGGUGAGAUUCUGUGCUCUAGGGGCAUUGAUUCACACUAAGCAAAGUUACAAGGAGCUAGAAUAACAAUGUAUAUCUACUAUAUUUCUUUCUCCCUUAUCCUCUGGUAUUUGACUUCUGUCUUUUAUUUAAUACUUUUUUUUUGUAUUGUAGUUCCUGUAUUUUAUUGUAUUUGUUCAUACUUCCUCUCUGGAAUAAAAGAAAUAAGAAACAAGUAUGUAAAUAAAUAAAAAUAGAUACUAUGUGUUUACAAAGGGAAAUCUCAUAUAAGUCAGUUCAUUCAAAAGAGGAAAUCACAGAUCAGAAGGUUGCUAUGGUAAAG